rnacentral:rRNA from 1 species
UACGAGGGGGGCCAAUGUUGUUCGGAAUCACUGGGCGUAAAGGGAGCGUAGGCGGGUUUUUAAGUCAGGUGUUUAAUCCCGGGGCCCAACCCCGGACAGGCACUUGAAACUGGGAAUCUUGAAUAGUGGAGAGGUCAGUGGAAUUGGGGGUGUAGCGGUGGAAUGCGUAGAGAUCCCCAAGAACACCCGUUGCGAAGGCGGCUGACUGGACACAUAUUGACGCUGAGGCUCGAAAGCAUGGGGAGCAAACAGG